rnacentral:rRNA from 1 species
CAGCCGCCACGGUAAUACGUAGGGUGCGAGCGUUAAUCGGAAUUACUGGGCGUAAAGCGUGCGCAGGCGAUUGUGCAAGACAGAUGUGAAAUCCCCGAGCUUAACUUGGGAACUGCAUUUGUGACUGCACGGCUAGAGUGUGUCAGAGGGGGGUAGAAUUCCACGUGUAGCAGUGAAAUGCGUAGAUAUGUGGAGGAAUACCGAUGGCGAAGGCAGCCCCCUGGGAUAACACUGACGCUCAUGCACGAAAGCGUGGGGAGCAAACAGGAUUAGAUACCCCCGUAGUCCCUGUCUCUUAUAC